CAAAAUAAAACAGGAAACCAAAGACAGAAAAAGACAAGACAAAACACAACACAGGCAGAUCGUGACAGUAAUAUAGAUUCAGUGCACUGCUACAGCCUGGAAUGAUAAUUUUGUUAAACAUUAGAUGAAUAUUAUUUAUACCUGAUAUUACUGAGUAACUGUCCUGACUUAAAGACUUUGAUUAUUUCAGUGACAGAAGGAGCAGCAUGGAGGACUUUGCGGGAUUUUUUUACCUGCCCAUAAAACCGCACCAAGAGAUCAUGGACUUAACGUUCAGUCUACAUCCUGCAGUGGAGAAAGCUGUGUGUGUGAGGACCAGCAGUAAGGGAUAUCCUCCGUCUUUCUAGAGUCUCUCAAUCUCACAGUGAUGAUGCUGUCAGGAGGAAGGAAUCCUUGAAGUCGAGACACUGAGACUCUUUAUUCCAGUUAAAGCGACUUGCAGAUGACACAAAAAUCCAAACUGCGAUUUUUGCACUGAAAUUGUUGUCAUGUCUGAAUCUUUGCACAUAUUAUUUCAGUUUUUAUGUAUAAUCUUAUUUGUGUAUGUUGCCGAUCAUGACGCUAACACAAGGAUAAAGUGGCUAGUUGAUAUUGGUAAAUGUCAUAGAACAGUAGGUUCAUCCAGUAAUGUCUCGUUUAUCUUCCUGUGUGGAAUUUUGGAAUUGGAAAAGAUAAUACUGGUGAAAUGAGUUCUAUAUUUUUAAGCUAAAAAGCUUUUAUGUUACUGGCAAGCGACCACAAGAGUUAAAUUGCAGAUCAAAUAAAAAUAAACAGUCAGAACAUGAUCCAGGCAGCUGUUAUACUUCACAGCAAAAUAUCAGCAAAAAGUUUAUUUUUCCAGACCACAAUUUUCAAAUAUUACUUAACUGUAAUUUUAUUUUUGACGGAUAAGGUAUUCUAGCUGCUUUACCCUUAAAUGUUAUUAAUGUUUAUCUGUUUUUUGAGGAUUAAGAUUGUGUCCUUUUUUGUCCUGUUGUUGAUCUGCAAUUAGUUUUAUAUAAAAUAUUGGUGAAAUGCAACAACCCUAAAGUACACCGUUACACUGAGAAAUUAAAUAAUUAUUUUUGUACAGAAAAAAAGGAUCACUCAUUAAUUUAAAUAAAUAAUAUGUUAAGAUCAAAUAAAUAGCUGCAUUUUACAGCCUUUGUCAUUUCAAAUUCAUUGGUAUUUUGCCUUUUUCAUCUGAUCACCAAACAGAUACCAUUUAAUACAUAAACAUACGUUAUUAGUUUAUUUUGUAUACCUGUAUAAUGUUUGGGUUUAUGAGUUGAGCAAUAAUCUAACAUAACAAGAAAAACAGCAAUACAGAACAUUGGGUUUAGGGCAAAUCGGUGAAUAUUAAAUAACACAUUUUGAAGGCUUUGGUGAGAACUAUACAGAAACUACAAAUCCUGGAAAACAUGUCAUUUUUUUGUCCUUCAAAAGUUCCAUUAAAUGAAAAAUAUUUGCCAAAUUGUUCCUGAAUAAGCUGCAUAAUGUACCAUUUAUAUAACCCUGUAUUUUUGUAUGAAUGUUGUAUUGGUGGUGGUCCCUGUGGGAUUGAAACUGUAACUGUGCAUCACAAGCUUAUGUUUUUAGUGCCUUCUUCUUUGUAUUUCACAAUUGUUCUACAAUAAAGUUGUAAAUAUAA